AACUCACUGAGUGAUUCUGAGGACAGGAGUGUCUACAUGGGUUCAAAUCCCAGCUCCAUCAUUUACUAGUUUCUUGGCCUUGGCAAGCCAUUUGACUUUUCUCUAAGCUUCAGUUUCCUCACCUACAACGUGGAGCUCAUAAGAUAGAAUCUACCUAAUACAGUUACCAGGAGGAUUAAUGAAGAUGAUGAUUGUAAAGCAUUUAACACAGUCUCGAGCACAGAUGCUCAGCUCCCAGUGCCCUGAGGAAGAGAAGCUGUCUGUGUGUGAAGGCCCCACAGCUGACAGGAAGAGUCACCAGAUUGUUAUUCAGCCGCAGGAUGUCCUGGCCUCCUAAGACCUUGCCCCUGUCCCCACAGCUUGCCGCCAAGGAGCCUUUAACUGCCAAGGACACAGAGACAGUAAUUCUCUAAUCUGGUCUUCCACAGAAUGUAGCAGAGUAUUGAAUGAGGCAUUCUCUCUACAUUUCACCACAGGAGCCACAAUAGCUAUGGAGUAAGUAAUAAAGCCAACAUGUGUUGAGCACUUAUGCUAUGCCAGGCAGUGUUUUACCUGCGAAAUGACUCAUAAAAUUAACUCGCUGCAUCCUUUCUACAUUCCUGUGAGGUAGAUUUUAUUAUCAUCCUCAUUGUAUACUUGAGACAGUGAAGCACAGAGAGGUUA
rnacentral:lncRNA from 1 species